UACGAAGGGGGCUAGCGUUGCUCGGAAUUACUGGGCGUAAAGCGCACGUAGGCGGCUUUCUAAGUCGGGGGUGAAAUCCUGGAGCUCAACUCCAGAACUGCCUUCGAUACUGGAGAGCUCGAGUCCGGGAGAGGUGAGUGGAACUGCGAGUGUAGAGGUGAAAUUCGCAGAUAUUCGCAAGAACACCAGUGGCGAAGGCGGCUCACUGGCCCGGUACUGACGCUGAGGUGCGAAAGCGUGGGGAGCAAACAGG
rnacentral:rRNA from 1 species